rnacentral:rRNA from 1 species
UUGCUUGCAAACUGGAGAUGGCGACCGGCGCACGGGUGAGUAACACGUAUCCAACCUGCCGAUAACUCGGGGAUAGCCUUUCGAAAGAAAGAUUAAUACCCGAUGGUAUAAUUAGACCGCAUGGUCUUGUUAUUAAAGAAUUUCGGUUAUCGAUGGGGAUGCGUUCCAUUAGGCAGUUGGUGAGGUAACGGCUCACCAAACCUUCGAUGGAUAGGGGUUCUGAGAGGAAGGUCCCCCACAUUGGAACUGAGACACGGUCCAAACUCCUACGGGAGGCAGCAGUGAGGAAUAUUGGUCAAUGGGCGCAGGCCUGAACCAGCCAAGUAGCGUGAAGGAUGACUGCCCUAUGGGUUGUAAACUUCUUUUAUAUGGGAAUAAAGUUUUCCACGUGUGGAAUUUUGUAUGUACCAUAUGAAUAAGGAUCGGCUAACUCCGUGCCAGCAGCCGCGGUAAUACGGAGGAUCCGAGCGUUAUCCGGAUUUAUUGGGUUUAAAGGGAGCGUAGGUGGACAGUUAAGUCAGUUGUGAAAGUUUGCGGCUCAACCGUAAAAUUGCAGUUGAUACUGGCUGUCUUGAGUACAGUAGAGGUGGGCGGAAUUCGUGGUGUAGCGGUGAAAUGCUUAGAUAUCACGAAGAACUCCGAUUGCGAAGGCAGCUCACUGGACUGCAACUGACACUGAUGCUCGAAAGUGUGGGUAUCA